AGCCUGCGGCGUCAUCCUCCCCUCCUCCCUCCUGGCUGCCAGGCUGCAUUUCAUAGUUUGACUGAAAGUGUGCCAUCCAGUCUGUCUCUCCACAAACAAACGGAAUAUUCUGAGCUUCCAGCAUUUGGAGGCACACAGCUUGCAUCUUUUUACGAAGAAAAAUAAACACUGUGUCUGGUAACAACCGAGUCCUGACGGAGAAAACACGCCUGCAUCCAAAUCGACUCGAGCAGCCCGGGGGCCGCAGACUCCAGGCAGCAAAAGGACUAAGGAGAUCAGGUCCACCAUCUACCCUGGAGACUGGAGGGCGCUGGGGUCGUCAGCUUUCCUGCAGGGUCCAUCCACGUCCCUGAUCGCCUUCCGCAUAAAGGCAUCUCACUGCUGACGCUAGAGAGCUGCCCUCACCGUUCCUCGCAAGAGCGGCUUCCGUAGGAGCUACCUGCGGGCGCAUCCCCGUCUGUCCUGAGCGGGAGCUCUGUGUGCGGUGCCCGCAGGGAAGGCAUCUUCCUCCGGCCCGCACAGCCAUGCCUGAGCCCAGGCCUCCCUCUGCUGACCUCUCCGGUCUUCUCGUUCCCUCUUUCCACGUUCUGCACUGACCAGACUGAGCACCUGUAACUUCUCCCAGACCUUGCGCCUGUCCCCCUCCAGACUUUUGUACGUUCUCUUCCUGCUGCUCAGAGUUCUCUUCCCUGGCUUCAGAGUCUGAAGUUCAUCCGGCAGGUCACAGCUUAGUCAUAAAUUCCUCCAGAAAGGCUGGCCUAACCACACAAGCCCAGGUGAGAUGCCGGUCCCCUGAGCUCCCUUUGUCCACCCCAGCCUGCUUAGCCUUCGUUCAUUGGUGCUCUUGCCCGCAACCCCUCCAUCAAUGACUCGAGACUAAAGCUGGACCAGCAGACAAAGCAAGCGGGUCUGGAUACAAACAGCAGCAAUAGACAGGAGCCACGUUCUUGUAAUAAGAGGGCAUCCUUCUUGUAAGGAUAAACCGAUCUAACUGUCACCUGGCACCAGGAUCACCAGAUGGGAUAUUUUUGAGACUCUUUCUUUCACAAAGAGAAGUCAUUGGGCUAUAGUUGCUAAAUGAACAGUGAGAGGAAGAGGGGAGGAAACUGAGUCCAUCUCCAAAUUUUGCAUGACAGCCAAGAAAUUACCAUCCACCCCCACCAAAGCUGACCAACACCCUUCCCCUGACAGCAAUGGGCCACAGGAUUCCCACACCAGGCUCUGAAAGCAGGGUCUCUCCUAUGGGUGCCUGUUUCCCUGCCUUCUGCCUGGGGGUUUCCUAUAAAAGCAUCACAUGUCCCUGAAAAUGAUAAUCAACUAUCUCCAGGCUCCUGUUAUAAACAGAGACACCCAGGCCAUGAUGGGGAAGCCAUUGUCUUGCACCUAAAUGCCAAAGCUGGCCAGGGCUGUCCUGGGGGGAGUGCGAACCUUCCUCAGUCCCCAGUCAGCACAGGACCUCACUCAUCUGCAGAUAAAGCCUCCAUUUACUGAAGAGAUGGAUUCCUGCUCCCAAGGGAACAGAGCAAAUCACAGUCAUGCCAUUCCUCCUCCUUCACCACACCUCCUGUGACUUUAUUUCUUUGGGGUGCUCUUCCUCACUCAAAGGCCAUAGGCCAGAGAAGCUGGGGAGACCUUGGUAACAGGUGUUCCUAAGUAAACAAUGGGGGUAAGUCAAACAUGGUAAAGGAAAAAAACAAUGUCAAAGGACAAGAGAGACAGGAACAAAUACUCAUUUAACCUAGUAUGUGCCGUGCACCAUAACACUCAUUAUCUUAGGGCCCACAGCAGUCUUCUGCGAUAGGUAUUACCAUGUAACAAAUGAGAUAAUCGAAAAUCAGAGAGGUUCAGUAAUUUGUCCAAGGUCACACAGCAGAGGCAGGUAAUCCCAAUAGGAUCACCUUUUUUUUUUUUUUUUUUUUCUCUCUCCUCACUUUCAUGGGGCU